CGGGGCUGCACAGAUGCGGGACCUGAGGGGCUGCGGAGCCUGCUACCCCUGGCACACGAGAAGCCCUGGGCCCCCAAGCAGCCCAAGCAAGCCUGCUGCCAUGGCCAGCGGACCUGAAGGUGAUGAGUGGCUGGUGGAGGACGCUGGGUUGUGCCUUCCAAGAAGAGUGUCCACCUCCUGUGCUCCAGACCCCGCUUGGCUGGGACUCAGCAGUGAAGGCGAGGCGGCUGCAGGCUAGCGGGAGGCAGGGGAGUCAGCUGAGGCACCUCCCCGAGGCCAGCGGCUCACCUGCACCCCAUCAUGGGCAAAGAAGGCCUUGGUGUCCGCCUCGGUGGCGAGGUGCAGACAGGUGGUCCUGCUCCAGCAGCGGUUCCGGCGCACCAGCAGGGUGAAGGCGUGGUCUUCGCUGUUGCUGUAGCACUCAGAGAAGAGGUCUGCCCGCGGGCACUGGCCGCUGCUUUGUGUGCCCGUGCCAGCCCCACUCCCUCCUCCUCUGCCCCGGGUCAGGCCCUGUAGGACCUGCUACUCUGCCCCAUGCCCACCUUCCAGGGGGCCCGAGAGGCCUGGGAGGAGCCAGCCAGGUGAGUGUCAUGUCCCUGCCUGGCCUGCCCAUGGCCACUUCCGCCCCCAUCAGGACCACGGGAGCCUCAGUCACCCCGAUCAUCCCCGCCCGUGCAGGGCCCAGUGUACACCCGAGGUGUGGGGCUGCCCUCAUCCUCGUGGACUUGUCUGCCCCUCUGUUAGGAUUUUAGGGCUCAUCCCCCCACUGGGAGGAGCCACUGGCCCGCUGAAGCCACUGCAGACCCCACUGCACCAGUCAGCCUGACCGCCUGGCUGAUCACUCACCGAGGGCCAGCUGCUCAUAUCUGGCCUCGCACGUGCGGCCCCUCUCGGCAGCCGUCUCCAGGUGGGACAUCUCCUUGAGGAUCUUGCAGGCGGCCAGAGCGGCGGCCACGCCCUCCUGGCCCUAGGACAGCGGUUCUGAGAAGCUUGCUCCCCCCCUGCCGCCCACGUGGCCUCUGUGCUGCUCACCAUGGCCCAGAAGUAGCUGGCCAUCUCAUGGCGGCUCUGCAGCACGGCCCACAGGAACAGGUCCCUCCAGGGGGCCUCGCUCCUCUCGUCCAGGUCCAGCAGCUGUCUCCGGCCCUCGGGCUGCUUGGCCGGCCCGCUCUCCUGGAGGACAGGGUGUCAGCCUCCAGCUGCGGCCAUCCCCUGCUCUCCCAGCCCGCCGCUCACCGCCUGGUAGAGCCCGUGGCAGGCGUCCUGCAGGAAGUCCUUGAGCACACGGGAGACCUCGAGCAGGGAGAAGGCGGGUGGCUCCCGGGCCUGUGGGGUAGCCAGGCCGGCCAGCACCAGCCGGCCCCCCUGGCGUUUGUGCUGCAGCAGCCCGAAGAGCAGGCCCUGGGGGGUCGUUGAGAGGUACAGCUGCUGCAGCCGCCGGUACGUCAGGAAGGCCGCCACGUUGGCGCCGUUGUCCACAAAGAGACGCACGAACUCCGGCUUGUUGCUCACCAGUGCAUCCAUCAGCACCUCCUCCAGGUCAUGGGCCUAGGGCGGCCACAGGGACCGACCAGGAGAAGAGAAGGGAAGCAGGAUUCAGGAUGCGCCAGCUGGCUGGGCGGGCGGGCGGGCCACCUUCCACUCCACGUCCCCGCCGAAGAUCUCACUCUCGGCGAUGUCCACGCGGCCCCAGGCCAUGGCCAGCCUGAGCUCGUCUAGUGAGAAUGUGCACUGAGGGACAGCCAUGAAGGGAGACAGCCCAGGUGCCCAUCCACAGAGGCACAGAACACCGUGGGCACAGGGCAGCCACGAGCAGGGCAGAGGCUUGCACUCCCACACGGUGGCCCUCAGCAGCAUCCGGUCAGUGAGAGAAGCCAGAUACCAAAGGCCACCGACUCUAGUCACAGGAAAUCCCCCCAGCUGGCAGAUCCUCAGGGCAGGCUGGCGGCUGGCGGCUGGCGGGGGCUGGGGGAGGGGGGAAUGAAUGGGCGCCGGGUCUCCUUGAGGGGUGAUGACAGCGUUCUGGAGUUAAAGUGCUGCUUGCAGGGCCUUGUGACUGUACUGAAACCACUGAAUUCAACACUUUAAAUGGUUUUUCAAACUGGUUAAAUGUAUCUAACCUAAAACUUCUAGUAUCUGGACCGUCUGCUCACAGAGGCCGUAGCGCUCUCCCACCAUAUGUGCGCUGCUAAAGUGAGCAUGGAGCCCUACACAUGUGCUCACACCCACGCGGCGGAGUCCUGUCCUGGGCUUCCUGGCCCCUGACAUCCUGCCUGGGUGGUGGUCCUGCCCCAGGUGCAGGACCCUGGAGGCUGAGACCCAGGCUGGGCAGGGCUUGGAAAGAGCCUCAAUGCAGGCCCAGAGCCCUGGGUGGCCACCCUGCCUUGCCUGGUGCCCUCGGCAGGUCUCCCUGCGGGUGUGCGGCAAGGCCCUCACCUUUCACCAGCGCCUUGAGGAUGACGGCCUCCAGCUCCUCGGAGCUGUCCUGUUCGAAGUCGUGUACGCUGGGUCCAGUACAUGAUGUCCUCCCAGGAGAAGUGCUGGCUGGGGAACUUCUCUUUAAACUGCCUUUCAGCCACUUGGGGCACCAGGAAGUGGGGCUGGCUCAUCAGGGCAGCGAGCACAUCGGCGAUGCCCCCCGA